UUUUUUCAUUUUUGAAGAGGCCGGAUUUCUGAAUUACGUUAUAAAAUAAGUUGCAGAUGACGUUAGUCACACAUCUUGUAUAUGGAAUACUUGUUUGUACGGCAGAGCACCGAAAAGUUCACAGGCCAGAGAUCCUACAGCGGAGUGGAGAUUGUCAUCGCUACUCCAGGAAGAUUGCUAGAUUUUCCUGGAGUUUAUUAGAUUGUAACAAAACGUAGAGUAGAUAAAAUAACGAGAAAAAUGAAACGUAAGGAAUGGUCAACUGUAUGCUUUCAUGGUUAUAAAACUCCACAAGAACGUAAUUGGGUAUUACAAGAUAUUCGAUCUGAUAAGGCUCCAUUUAUUGUAGCAAUUGACGUAGCAGCUCGUGAACUAGGAAACAAUGAAGGAGGCAACAGAGGCACAUUCAUCAUUAAAGAUAAAAUGUACUGGGGAGUUUUUAAUUUAUGAAGUUGCCAAUUCCUAAUUAGAGCCUACAAUUAAAAUUACAUAAAAGAAGGUAAAAAAGUUAAAAUUUUGUUAUAUUUUUAUUUUUAUAUUUUCAAAGCAUACUCACAUGGACAAAAUGAAAGUAGCAACCAUACAUCUUUGCGCCUUUAAAAUUAAUCCUUAAGGAUUUAGAUGACGCUUUUUCAUAAUCAGUCAUAAUGGCCAGUGAUUUGUUUUCUAAAUUAGGGAACUGAUUAAUUAGCCAGGAAAAAAUGGCAUUAUACAUUUCCGUAUCCCUGUUUUCCAUUAAAAUCAUUAGCCCAGCUAUAUACUAAGAAAUAUAAUAAACAUAAUUUUUAUCAAUAUGUACAAGUACUUGUACAUAACAAGUACAUGUAAAAACUUUUAGUUAAUCCAUAAUAAAAAAAUUUUAGUCUCUUAUAAUUAAUUGUUAAAAAAAAUUGCUAGAACUAUUACCGUAUUAUUAGUUUUAAAAUGGAUGGAGUAAAUUUGCUCCAUUUUUGGUUUCCGUGCUGUUCUCUAAAACAUUUUUUUAUUAAAUAAAAAGUUAUAAUGGCAAAAUCUAA